AUAUGCCUCAUAUAUAUUUAUAAUUUUAAAGAUAUGCCAUUAUACUCCACAUUAUGAUUUUUUAAAAAUUCCAAUUACAUAAAAGAUUCCAAUGCACAGUUUAGGCCAACAAUCCCCGAACUUAGCCUACAGGCCCUCAGCAGCCUCCCACCCAGCACCACUGAGGGUGUCCUCAGGAAAUCAAUCAGUACUUUGUUACCUCUGUGGGGACUUCAGCUUUCACCUCAUUCUCUUAUUCUUUCAACUCCUUUCCUCCCUCUCCUUUACUUCUUACCCUUCUUGUCUGCUUCUGCCUGAGGCCUGCUGACAGUACCUGCUAACACUGUUUAGCCCUAUUGGUGGCCAGCAUUAGGUUAGGUUUUCAGCCCCUGUUGCAAAACAGAUCUAGUUACCUGGAGAUUGCUCACUCAUCACUUCUGCGGCUGCUUCUGUGGUUCUCUGGGGCCUCUCCACACCUGCCAGGCUGGCUGCUCUUCAUGGCUGGUGCUGCCAUGGGCCAACCCCAGGAUGGCAUGCUUUGACCCUCAGAAUUCCCGUCUAAGAAGUGCUAUCAGAGCAUGUGUGUAUGCUCUCACUGCGGCAGGAGAAUUUGCCUUCCAGUACCGAAUGACUUUAUAAAACAAAACUUGUGCAUUUGUGCAGCCAGCAGAGGUGGGUUCCGUCCCAGCCGACUCAUCUACCACGCUUCCUGCAAGAUGGAUUCAACUCAGCAUAUUUGCAAUCACUGGCCAAAGACCAAGGAGACAGCCCUGGGGAUUUCUUCCUGGGACACUUCUCAAGGAAAACUCAGUUCCUUAGAUAGAACAGCAGAUUUAUUUUGAACCAACUGUCAGCUAUAAUUGAACUAGGAGACUACCCUUUUUCCUGUAAUUUAGAGUAUUUAAAAGAAAUACACAAUAAUAACUACAUCCAACACUUACGUAGCACUUACUGGCCACCACUAUUCUGACUAUUUUACUUUUAUUAACUCAUUUAAUCUUAACAACCCUAUGAAGCCCAUACUGCUAUUAUCGUCAUUCUCAUUUAACAGAUAAGGAAACUGAAGGACAAUGAUGUUAAAUAACUUGUCCAAGACUACACAGCAAGUAAGAAGCAGAGCCUGAGAUCGAGCCUAGGCAGUCUGGCUCCAGUUUGUGCCUUUAUUUCCCUGUGCCACCAUCUACAAGUUAAGAAGUGCCUUUUUAAUUUUUGGCCAAUGUUUUUGAUGGGACUGCAAGUAUGUAGAAUUUAAUGACUAUUUUAUUUAAUAAAAUUAUGUAUAAUACUUGACUUUGAUACUAAGUCAAUUUGUACUUUUUCAGGACUUCUAAGUUGUUAGUUCUUUGAUAAAAUGAUUAUAGGAUUACAAUACAUUUUAUUUUGUGAAUAAAGAAUGAGAAACAGGCUGGGCACAGUAACUCAUGUGUAUAAUCCUAGCACUUUGGGAGGCCAAGACUAAUGGAUUGCUUUGAGCUCAAGAGUUUGAGACCAGCCUGGGCAACGUGGCAAAACUUCAUCUCUACAGAAAAUACAAAAUUAGCCGGGUGUGGUGGCACGUGGCUGUGGUCCCAGCUACUUGGUAGGCUGAGGCUGGAGAAUUGCUUGAACCCAGGAGGUGGAGGUUGCGUUGAACCGAGAUCACGCCACUGCGCUCCAGCCUGGGUGACAGACCAAAACCCUGUCUCAAAAAAAAAAAAAAAAAAAGAAUGAGAAAGAUGAGAAGGUGCACUCCUGCUUCCUCUCAUCUUCAUGUGAAAUUCACAGUCAUCCCUCAAAACCAGUGUAUACACAUCACCUCUCAUGUGAGGCCUUCAGUUGUAGAGUUAAUUACUUCUGCUACUGUUACAGCUUAUAUACAUAUCUAUAAUUAUACUAAUCACACUGCAUUGUAAUUAUUUGUGUAUCUCAUUUAUGACCUAUGCUUGACAGGAAAGCCUGAAGAUAGGAUCUAUGUUUUAUUCAUGUGUGCAUUUGUGUAAUAAAGUCAACAAAUUUUAAUUGAACUGUAUUUGAGG
rnacentral:lncRNA from 1 species